ensembl:lincRNA Gm26668 predicted gene, 26668
UUUUCUUUUCUUUUCUUUUCUUUCUUUCUUUCUUUCUUUCUUUCUUUCUUUCUUUCUUUCUUUCUUCACUUAUUUACUUAGACAAGGCCUUGGUUUGCAGCCUCAGGUUGCCUCGGAUUUCUAGUAAUCUUCUUACUUCCAAAGUGCUGUGAUUACAGGCACACAAAGCUACAUUCACUUUGAAUGUCUGAUGCUUUUAACACCCCUGUGCAGAAAAGUGACAGGUGUGUGGGUGUGCAUUAGAUAGUUGUGCUCAGUGAAUGGGCCUAGAAGUGAAGGAUCACAGCAGCAAUGAGCACCCCCAGAUCUUUGUUUCUAAAUAGUGGUCUCCCCUAUAUAGGAAGCCAGAACUCAUUGAAGAAAUGGCUGGUGUUAGGACCAGAGCAGGGAAAGUGGAAAAAAACAAGCAAGUACUAAAACCCGAGCUAUGACAAAGGGUGAAAGAGUCAGCCACAGGAACCUGAGAGCCCAGAUGGGUCAGCCAGAGUCUCAGGUAUGAGGAUAUGCUGGGUGGAGAGGUGCACAUCUUCAAUCCCAGCACUCAGAAGGCAGACCUGGGCUAGACAGUAAGUUCUAGGCCAACCUGAGCCACACAGCGAGAUUUCUUUUUAAUUUUUUUUUCUAUUUUCUUUAUGGUUUCUCGAGACAGGGUUUCUCUGUGUAGCCCUGGCUGUCCUGGAACUCGCUUUAUAGAUUAGGCUGGUCUCAAAUUAAGAGACUCACCUGCCUCUGCCUCCCAAGUGCUGGGGUUAAACCUUUGCCAGUCUCUUUUUAGCUUUAAAUUUACAUUUAUCUUUAUGCGUGCGUACGUUCCUGUAAUGGUGUGGUAUGGAUGUCAGAGGACUUUUGGAAGCUGCUUCUCUGCUUCUACCAUACGUAAGCUCAGAGACUGAUCUCAGGUAGCCAGGCUUGGCAGCAAGUGCCGUAAGAACUAACCUACUUGACAGCCCCACAGUGAGAUCUCAUCUCAGUAAAAACAAAAAACAAAGAAAGAAAACAGUCUGUAAAUACUUUCCUACAACUCACAGGAACAGACUCAAGAGAACAUGUUUCUAGUAUAGAGAUAAAUCAUACACAGACAAGAAUGAGUUCCUUGUACAAGGUUUGACUAAGUCGGAACAGUAUUUAAUAAGGCGCCUCUGGCUCCCUCUGCUGGUGUCUCAUGCGGAAUGGUAUGAAUGAAGUUAUUAGCAUAUCCAAUCUUUCAGUUUAGAAACAUAGACUUUCAAGUACAAUCUUUAACUCUGAAUGUCGCUUACUUCCCUAAACUUGGAGAAACCCUGAGCCUACAAACUUGCAUGUGUCCUGGCUCUCAGAAGAAUUAGUAGGGGCAUGUUAACAGGGGACUAGUUUCUAAGAGCCCAGACAAACUUACCCCCUCAGCAGCAUCAAUGAAAAGGACCACUCCAUCUGAGAUGCGCAAGCCAGCUGUGACCUCAUCAGAAAAAUUCACAUGACCUGAAAAGCAAAUAUCCAGCUAUCGUUUGGUGGAAGGAGGCAGUUAGCUUCUAGGGUGACCCAAGGAACCAGUCCUAUGAACUCCAAAUAUCCUUCUUCCUGCCCACAGCACCUCACAGUGUAUAAACUUCUCCCAUUUGAGUCCCAUCCUGGGAUUAAAGUUUUAUACAAGUCUCCACAUAGAGACGGUAAAGCAGUCGGCACACCAAUUUAGUCUGACAGGUACCCAACAGUGCAGGAGCUAUGAUGAUCUGGAGACAGGGGAAUGGCAAAGGAAGGCCUAGGAAGCAUGGCGAGCCGCUCCAGGCAAGGCACAGCUAGAGGACGGGGUGGCCGGGGCACCAGAGUGCCAGGCAUGGGAACCUGAUGGGGCACUGAAGGCAAGUCUGCCAGAUCCCAGAUUGCCCAGACAUUAAAUCAAACACUUAUGCAUCAAGUCAGCCCUUUCCACGAAAGAAACAGCUGGUGGCAGGGCCACGGCACCCUGACACACUUUGUCCACUUCUUUGGGGUUAGGUCUGACUCACCUUUAUUUCAUCAUGGCUAGGCCUGGGGCCUAACAUAAACUGAAAUCAGUGUGCACACAAAGUUCCUAAAAUUUAAAAUUCCACAGGGUUUGUAAAGAUGGAUGUGACAUCAAAGGCCAGGAGACUACUAUUGUGUCAAAGAAAAGGAAACCCUUGAACAAGAAUACAAACACCAAGAACACUCCGUACUGCGGAAACGGAACACAAACAGAGCGUGGACAAGGCUGUGACAGUAAAGGUCAAGGGGCCCACCUGGCGUGUCCAUGAUGUUGAAGAGGUAAGACUUCCCUUUGGUGUCCGGCAGCACCACCGUCACCGGAGUGCUCUUGAUGCCGACGCCUCUCUGAAAUCCACAGACAGAUACUCAGGACUUAUCCCCGACCAAAGGAAUCCCUCAGCUCCUGGGGUUUAUCAGCUGCUAACUGAUCAUACAAAUGGUUCUCCUUGUAGUGGGUGUAAUUCUUUCUUUUUAUCUAGACCUCUGACAUGAUUUUUUAGAUAUCUCACACACACACACACACACACACACACACUUUUUGUUUGGUUUGUUUUUUGUUUUUAAGACAGGGUUUCUCUGGCUGUCCUGGAACUGGCUUUUAGACCAGGCUGCUCUCAAACUUACAGAGAUCUCUCUGCCUCUGAGUGCUGGGAUUAGAGGCCUGUGCACACAUACUUUUUUUUACAGUGCUAGAGAAUAAACUCAGAAUAUGUACAUACUAAGCAAGUAUUCUACCACAGAAUUACAUUUCCGGUCCCAAAACUAAUUUUGGGGGGCGGGGCAAGGAAUAUUAGGAAUUGAAUAUCUCACAUACUAGGUGAUCAAUACCCUUAGCUCUGAAGUUUUAUUUUGAGACAAAGUCUCACUAAGUUGUUCAGGCUGACCUCAUCCUUGUUCUGUAACCCUGGUAGUUAGGCUUCGAAUAACUUCCUUUCUGGCUGGCCUCUAACUCAGAGACCCAUCCACCUGUCCUGCCUCCCAGUCCUGGGACUAAAGGUAUGAGCUACUACACAAAGCUGGAUUUGAAUUUCUGAUGGGGCCUUUGGAGUAGCUGGGAUUACAGGUCUGUUCUACCUUGUACAUCAGCAAGCAAGGUAAUGUGCCUUAAUCAGUAUUGAAGGGCAAUUAGUUAAAAAAAAAGAAAAAUGAGAAGAGCAAGCAAUGAUGUAAGCUCAGAGGCCACAGACCCCAGGUUCUCACCUCCUUCAUUGGAAACAAAGCAGGUGAGUGUCAUAAAAAUAAAAAGAAACAAUCUGGGUUUAGGGUUUUUUGUUUGUUUCUUUGUUUGUUUGUUUUAUGCAUAUGAGUACACUGUAGCUGUCUUCAGACACACCAGAAGAGGGCAUCAGAUUCCAUUACAGAUGGUUGUGAGCCACCAUGUGGUUGCUGAGAAUUGAACUCAGCACCUCUAGAAGAGCAGUCAGUGCUCUCAACCUCUGAGCCAUCUCUCCAGCCCUUGGUUUUGUUUUUAAAGGAAAGAAAUAUUUAGAAGUUCUCAUAGGAAAUAAGUAUUUUAAAAGGGGGGAAAGCUGGGCACUCGUACUGUGGUAUACCAUUAAUGCCAACACUUAGGAGGCAGAGGCAGGAGUUCAAGGUCACCUUUGGCUACAUAAAGGGUUGGAGGCUAGCCUGGGCUAUAUGAGGUCCUGUCUCG